rnacentral:lncRNA from 11 species
GAAAAAACAAGUUGGCAUUCAAAACGUGGCCAUUUUUAUCAUUUUUUCAUAAAAUGAUUGCAGAUGCUCAUCACCAAACAGCAAAAGUAAACUCUUCCACAAGAACUGUGGGUUCAGAGCUUGGCAUGUCAAGCUUCCCAGAAAGCCAGAGGAAACACAGAUGGUUUGAAGGCAAAAUCAGAGGCUUUAUUUUCAGUGGCCAGAGAGGAUGUCAGCAGAUAUAGCAAAUGCAAUCCAAAGAACUGACAUGCAGCUAUUGUGAACAUACAUUUUAUUUAUAGCAUUUUGAUAGCUGUUCAAGACUGCUAUGCUGGCUCCUGAUUGGUCCGGAUAGUAUUUGGCUAGGUUUUGCUCCCUGGUUGGUCCAGGGCUCAGUUCAACAUCACCACUGGUUUGUCCUCACAUUGACAGGAAAGUUCAAUAAACUUUCAUUGGCUUAUUUGGAAGAUUGUACCUGAAAGGAGUGUGGCAGGACAAGCAAUAAUGGGCUGAAGUGGGGUUUGAUAUCCCAGCAAUGUGUAACAGUCCAAAAAAUUGUGCUUAGGAAGUUUGCUAUUUCAUUGGGAGCCCCAGGAAGGGGUCUGGUUUGGUGAGAGGGAUAAGGAUGCAUUCCAAGGAAUAAAUUAGAUAAUAACAGGAUGAAACAGAAAGGCCUAAAGGCCAGUGUGUGUCCCCAGAGUCUUCCCAGGGCACUGUGAGGGGAACAUGAUAAUUAAAAGAGACUAUAUCCCAAGGGUCAAUGGGGCAAUAUUCCCAUGAAAAUUCAUGAAAGAUUACUACAGGACAAAUGGAGAAGGCCAUGUGGGCUUGCUGUAUCUCUCAGUGGAGCCAGAGAUAAUAAUUCAUAACUUUGGGGGUCAAUUUUGGUAACAUCUUUUUGAAUCUGUAAGCACGAAGACUAUUACAAAGUGAGUGAAAUAAAUACUUUGGUGCACACUGU